rnacentral:rRNA from 1 species
GAUGAACGCUGGCGGCGUGCUUAACACAUGCCAGUCGAACGAAGCACUUUAUUUGAUUUCCUUCGGGACUGAUUAUUUUGUGACUGAGUGGCGGACGGGUGAGUAACGCGUGGGUAACCUGCCUUGUACAGGGGGAUAAUAGUUGGAAACGGCUGCUAAUACCGCAUAAGCGCACAGCAUCGCAUGAUGCAGUGUGAAAAACUCCGGUGGUAUAAGAUGGACCCGCGUUGGAUUAGCUAGUUGGUGAGGUAACGGCCCACCAAGGCGACGAUCCAUAGCCGACCUGAGAGGGUGACCGGCCACAUUGGGACUGAGACACGGCCCAAACUCCUACGGGAGGCAGCAGUGGGGAAUAUUGCACAAUGGGCGAAAGCCUGAUGCAGCGACGCCGCGUGAGCGAAGAAGUAUUUCGGUAUGUAAAGCUCUAUCAGCAGGGAAGAUAAUGACGGUACCUGACUAAGAAGCACCGGCUAAAUACGUG